CCUACGGGUGGCAGCAGUGAGGAAUAUUGGUCAAUGGACGAGAGUCUGAACCAGCCAAGUAGCGUGAAGGAUGACUGCCCUAUGGGUUGUAAACUUCUUUUAUAAAGGAAUAAAACGAGGCACGUGUGCCUUUUUGUAUGUACUUUAUGAAUAAGGAUCGGCUAACUCCGUGCCAGCAGCCGCGGUAAUACGGAGGAUCCGAGCGUUAUCCGGAUUUAUUGGGUUUAAAGGGAGCGUAGAUGGGUUGUUAAGUCAGUUGUGAAAGUUUGCGGCUCAACCGUAAAAUUGCAAUUGAUACUGGCAGUCUUGAGUACAGUAGAGGUAGGCGGAAUUCGUGGUGUAGCGGUGAAAUGCUUAGAUAUCACGAAGAACCCCGAUUGCGAAGGCAGCUUACUAAACUGUGACUGACAUUGAGGCUCGAAAGUGUGGGUAUCAAACAGGAUUAGAUACCCUAGUAGUC
rnacentral:rRNA from 1 species